GCUGCUCCGGCCGGGGCCCGGGGGCGGGGGGCGGGGGCCGCCCCGAGCAUCGGGGACCGGGGAGCGCGGGGGGGCGCGAGGGGGCCGGCGCCUGGGUCCCCGCGGAAGGGGGCGCGCUCCGGGGCGCACUCGGGGUCCGCGCGGGAGAGGGUGUGGGAGGGGGCGCGCUCGGGAGCGCACUCGGGGUCCCCGGGGGAGGGGGCGCGCUCGGGGGCGCACUCGGGGUCCCCGCGGGAGAUGGUGCGGGAGGGGGCGCGCUCCGGGGCGCGCUCGGGGUCCGCGCGGGAGAGGGUGCGGGAGGGGGCGCGCUCGGGGGCACGCUGGGGCUCACCCACGCCGGCUCCGGCCCCCCGUUCGCCGCGGGCCAUGAAAUCCGCCCGGGCCGCCGCGACCGAGCCGGGCCAGCAACUUCCCGGCGGGGCCGAGGCUGCAGAGCCGGGCGCGCGGGCACCUCCGCCACCUCCGCCGCCGCCGCCGCCGCCGCCAACUUUGGGAGCGCGCCCUCCCCGGGGUCGGGUCCUCGGCGGAGAGCGGGGGCUGCGCGGGGGCGGCGGGGCGGCGAGGAGGUCCGGCCGGGUCGGGGCGGGCGCCCCCGGCCGGCUCUCGCCGCCCCGGAUCAACUUGGCUCGGGCAUGUCCCCGCUCCCGCCUCGCCCGCUAGCCGCCGCCUCCGCGGUCCCGCCGCUCCGCGCUGCUGGGUCGCGCCGUGCUCCCCGCGCCUGCCGGCCGCGCUCGGGCGAGUGCGGGGGGCGGCUCCCCGCGGGGGGCGGAGUCGGGCCCGGGGCGAGGGCCGGAGCUGGCCGGAGCUCCCCGGAGCCGAGCGGCCGUGCGGGGUGCGGAGCGCGCUCUGCCCGCCGCGCCCAGGGCGAGGGGGCGCGGGUCCCGCUGCCGGACGGCGAUUGGCCCGCGAGCGCCCCUCGGCUCUUCCGCCCGCUGUCGGGCCGAGGGAAGUUGCUGACACACAGGAAACCCUGCGCCUGCUCCCAGCCCUGCGCACAGCCCGGACCCCGGGGGCGCCGGGGGGGGGGGGGGGGGGAGGGCCUGAGGUCCCUAGAGCCCGGGACGGGGAGGGGGACGCCGAGGUCUCUAGUGCCCCGGGGGGGGGGGGGGAGCUGCCCGAGGGGCUCUAGCGCCCCGGGGAGGGGGGGUGCCCGAGGGGUCUAG
rnacentral:lncRNA from 1 species